rnacentral:pre_miRNA from 1 species
UCAAAAAAGUGGAGGAUUGGGUCUGCACUGAGUGAAAUGGACUAGUGAGAUUCUCAUUCCUCCAUUUAACUGC